UAAAGGUUUAUCUUCUCGAUCUUUCACAACCACGCUAACCUGUCGUGUUCUUUGUCCACCAGAUGGUAGCGGGCACGGAAGGCCACAAGACGAGCAUAGUAGGCUGGCGCAGGGAUGGAGACUGAGCGGGUGCAACGCACCUGUCCCUCAGGAACUCCAUCCCUGUAGAAGAUGAUCCUGGUGGGCUUGAAACGGGUCGACUUGUAGAACUGAAUGAGCAGUUCACGCACCAUGUAAGACAGAUCUUCAAUGAUCUCCUGCCGGGGUCUCUGGACCCGCACUGUGGCACAGUAUCUGCUGGGAUGAGCGUCCAUACUACCUACCACCUGGAAAAGAGCAGAGGAAGAGAGUGAGCGAGUCUGGAGGAUCUGAGACAGACCCGCUCUCCUCUCCCAUCCUCCCUGUGUGUGACUCAAGGGUUUGUCAUAAUCGCUAGGCAACAACACAGCCAACCACAAGCGAGCUGAGGUCAAGGGCGUACGAGGAGCUGACGUCAUUUCCUGUAUGAACUUCAGAAGUGAAGAAGCCUUUCGGAGGAGGAGAGGUGAAACGUCUUCAAGACCUUCAGCUAAGUCCAGUUGCCUUUUGGAUCAAGCUUGAAAUUGACCGCGACCUGGAUGACUGAGAACCUACGCAGACAUCUUUUCUACGACAUCUGCAGGUCACAUUUGCAUUGUUCACAUGUCCAGCUCAGUAUCUGGACUGCCACCAGUGUUACCACACCACACUGUGGAAGUUAUCGACAUUUAUUUAGAUGGUUUUGCUAACUUCAUUUGGUGUGUAGUUUUUGCUUUACAUAAUAAAAAAAAAAAGCCUCAUAAAUAGAUGACAAAAUAAAAGUUUGCAUGGCUUUGAACAGACUUGGAAAAGGAGGGCUGAUAGUUGGGAAGGCUGUGUUGGCAAACAUUCAGACUUCUAAAAGGCUACUAUUCCCCUGAUAAAGUUUUGAUCCACUUCUAGCCAUCUGUGUAUCCAUGCUGACAGAGCUGCAGUAUUUGGUGCUUUUUGAUGUCUAACACUGGCAGCAGGGGUGGACGAGAUAAUCAGCUCUGUGAGACGUAUGAAUAUUUAGGGAUACUUUUACAUAUGCACCACUACAUUUUUAGAAAAUGUCAGGACAGCCUGCCCCUGACAUUUUCAAUGUCAAUGCUAUUAUGAGAUUUCUUUGCCUUUAUAUCAAUGCAAGGUGUUAUUGAACGUAUUCACAGCAUCACUCAUAAUGGCUGUUACUUUCAAGGCUGCAUGAAAAAACCUGAAAUGCUUGAAGCAAAGAACACUUCCAUCUUACACUUAGAUACCUCAAGAAAUUGUCUGAUUUUUCUUUCUACGUGUUUCUUGGUAGCAGACAGUUGGAAAGACAUACUAAAACUAAUAAAUGAAGAAAUUCUGUGCCAGACUG